rnacentral:rRNA from 1 species
UACAGAGGGGGCAAGCGUUGUUCGGAAUUACUGGGCGUAAAGGGCGCGUAGGCGGCCUUCUAAGUCGAACGUGAAAUCCCUGGGCUCAACCCAGGAACUGCGUCCGAUACUGGAAGGCUUGAAUCCGGGAGAGGGAUGCGGAAUUCCAGGUGUAGCGGUGAAAUGCGUAGAUAUCUGGAGGAACACCGGCGGCGAAGGCGGCAUCCUGGACCGGCAUUGACGCUGAGGAGCGAAAGCUAGGGGAGCAAACGGG